GCACUGCUGAAGAGUCCCAUACUAGGACGAAACGGCCGUUCAAUGC
rnacentral:hammerhead_ribozyme from 1 species